rnacentral:rRNA from 1 species
UACGAAGGGUGCUAGCGUUGUUCGGAAUUACUGGGCGUAAAGCGCGCGUAGGCGGCUAUACCAGUCAGAGGUGAAAGCCCGGGGCUCAACCCCGGAAUUGCCUUUGAAACUGUAUGGCUAGAGUGUCGGAGGGGAUAGCGGAAUUCCUAAUGUAGAGGUGAAAUUCGUAGAUAUUAGGAGGAACACCGGUGGCGAAGGCGGCUAUCUGGACGACAACUGACGCUGAGGCGCGAAAGCGUGCGGAUCAAACAGG